UACGGAGGGUGCAAGCGUUAUCCGGAUUUACUGGGCUUAAAGGGUGCGUAGGCGGAUUUGUAAGUCUGAGGUGAAAUCUCCGAGCUUAACUCGGAAACUGCCUUGGAUACUAUAAGUCUUGAAUGACGUUGAGGUUAGCGGAAUAUGUCAUGUAGCGGUGAAAUGCGUAGAUAUGACAUAGAACACCUAUUGCGAAGGCAGCUAACUAGGCGUAUAUUGACGCUGAGGCACGAAAGCGUGGGGAGCAAACAGG
rnacentral:rRNA from 1 species